ensembl:lncRNA
GCAAUGGUAAAACUGAGAAAACACGUGCAGAAAUAUCAUCUCUUCUCAUUGAUGUCCAUAUCUCAUAGUCACUGCUUUGCAUUGAGAUUCAAAACGCUAUUAAAAGAAACAUGUUCAGAAUAAAAGUUAAACCCUUUUUCUCUAUAAUAAUUCAAAUGUUAUUGAAAAGCAGGUGUAGACCACAAAUACAUAAGGAGUUACAGAACUAAUAUAAAUUCAGUAUAAUUUCAACAUCAAUUUUACUAACAUUUUAAUUUGAUGAUAAUCUUUUGCAAAGAUAAAGUGAAUGUUUAGGUGUGAAAAGCUACUAUGCACAAGAAAUUUCUGUUUCCUAGUUGUGGUUUUGGAACAUGUCUUAUAUCAAAGUGUAAGUGCAUACACACCAGCAGAAGUCCUUUUGGCCCAGUCUUUGCACUGGGAAAAUACCUGUAUAAAAAUAGAUUUCCUACUCAGCUGACGUGAUACCAAAGAUAUGCAUGUUUACUUAAAUUUGUAUUGCUCAUACUCAUAGUACACCUACUUUUAUGGCAUUUGCACUUGAGUCCAGUUUUUGAUGCAUUUUGCAAUUGAAAGAUGCUUUCCUCAGGACUUUCAGCCUAUGAACACUGACUAGAAUGGUUCACCCUGGUGGUAACACUAUAGAAUAGUUGGGUUACAAUCUCUGUGUUUGAAGUUUAGUAUAUAUAGAAAAUUUUUUAUAUGAUCUCACACCACGUUCUUCUCCCUGAACCAGAAUACUAUGGAUUUGAAGGGUGUACUGUUCCAUUAUUAUAUAUAUCCACUAUAUAUCCACUAUUGUGUGAAUGAGAAAUUAGUUGGAUGAUCUCAGUCAGAGGGCAGUGGUCAAUGGAUCUAUGUCCAGGUGGAUGCCGAUCAUGAGUGGUAUAUCCUAUGGCUUUGUCUUGGGAUUAGUACUCUUCAACGUCUUUAUCAAUGACCUGAAUAUUAGGGCUGAGUACACCCUCAGCAAGUUUGCUGGUGAUGCUGAAUGGUGCAGCUGAUAUAACAGAAGGAAGGAAUACCAUCCAGAAGGACCUGAACAAAGUGGGCCCACAUGAAUCUAGUGAAAUUUGUCAGGGCUGAGUUCAAGAUACAGUACUUGGGUUGGAGCAGUCUCAGGUAAGAGUACAGACUAGGAGAAGAACUCUUUGACAGCAGCCCUGCAGAGAAGGACUUUGUUGUUCUGGAGAACAAAAAGCUGGACAUUUAAGUGCUUUCUGUAUAUGAUAAUUCCUCCAAAAGUUCAUUGGAAUGCUUUUGAGUGAAUUCACUGCAGUAACAGGCAUUUAUUCAAGUCAUUGUUUACAAGGGAUGUUUUCUAAGUACCUGCAUAUAUUCUUUUAUUUUAGUUCUUUCAUGAUCUUCACUUUUUGAAAGAGCUAGUGGUGAAUGAGGAUGAUGAUUAAUGUUUUCUUUCCAGAAUUUCUUAAAGAAUGCUAAGAGAUUGCCUUCUCAUCUAAGUUACUAUGAAUCUGUUGAUCUUAGAUGUUUUUUAUACUUCUUCAAAAUAGUGUUUGAAAUCAUAAGAACACUUAACACUAUUUACUCUCAAAACACUCUUGCAGAAUUGAGAAGUGCUACAAAUAUCAUUUUACAAACUCAAAAAAGUGAGUUUGUGUAGAACAUGAAAUUUAGGUCUUCUUACCUGCACCUGAUGUUAUGACAUGUAUUUAUUACUUGACUGAAGAAAUGUGAUCUUCAGAUUUUAAAACUGUUCUGAUAUUUAAGUAUCAGUAUAUGAGUGUCAUGUUUCAAGGUACAGGCUUCUGCUCUUCUGUGCGCUUGGCAAACCAAAAGAUUGAUGAUAAAAAGUGCAAAUAAUUGGUAGAAUUUUCAAUAUUACCUUAGAUUUCCCACCAUUUAUCUAACAAUUUUACUAAACAGGAUUUUUUCAUAAGAAAUGGCAAAUAGGAACUUAUGCCUUCUCUAAGUGUGCCUGGUAACAGCCUUUGAGAAACUGCACUUUUCAAAAUAAAAAUUUAGAAUAUCACCGAAUAUCAUAGGAAACUCAAAGCCUACAACAUUCAUAAUCUUUUUUAACUUUUGUCCAUGUCAUUGAGAUUUGCAAUAUUGCUAUGAAAUAUAUUAUUUUAGACUUGCCAAAAAUAAAAAAAAAAAGACACUUUUUGUAUGUUAUUAAACCGAGGUUUUUUUUUAAAGAUCUGUACUGGAAUAUUUCUUCUAUGAUAAAAACAACAUUUCCCAAUAUAGUGUAGGUAGAUGUUUAUUGAAGGGGAAAAUAAUCAAAUGGCAUUGCAUUUUUGGUUUCCUGCAGCCAAAGAGAGGUUAUUGGUUAGAAAUUAUUAUUAAUAACAUAGAGGAAUUAGAGAGUGUGGAAAAAUGUAGGUAGAAAGCAAUGGAUUUCUCACCUGUAGUGCCUCCAUAAUUUAUUGAGUGCAACUCUGCUUUGGAAAGAUAUAAUAAAAGAAAACUUACUUCUGCUGUUUGGAUAGCUUAUUGAAUUUAUUUUUCUGUGUGUAGAAAAUGAGUCUGUUAUUGCUCCCUUGGUAUUUGAGAUGAAUUGAUAGAAAUUUAUAUUCUAUUUCAG